GACGAACGCUGGCGGCGUGCCUAACACAUGCAAGUCGAACGGAACUGUUUUGAAAGAUUUCUUCGGAAUGAAUUUGAUUUAGUUUAGUGGCGGACGGGUGAGUAACGCGUGAGUAACCUGCCUUCAAGAGGGGGAUAACAUUCUGAAAAGAAUGCUAAUACCGCAUGACAUAUCGGAAUCGCAUGAUUUUGAUAUCAAAGAUUUUAUCGCUUGAAGAUGGACUCGCGUCCGAUUAGUUAGUUGGUGAGGUAACGGCUCACCAAGACCGCGAUCGGUAGCCGGACUGAGAGGUUGAACGGCCACAUUGGGACUGAGACACGGCCCAGACUCCUACGGGAGGCAGCAGUGGGGGAUAUUGCGCAAUGGGGGCAACCCUGACGCAGCAACGCCGCGUGAAGGAUGAAGGUUUUCGGAUUGUAAACUUCUUUUAUUAAGGACGAA
rnacentral:rRNA from 1 species